AUGACGCUCGGAUCAUGUAGCGGAUACCACGCUGAACUUCAACUCAUAUCGACUAGCGGAGGAAAAGCAAGUGACAGUCAUUGCCUUCGUAACGGUGACUGAGAUGCAGCAGCUCAAA
rnacentral:rRNA from 1 species